rnacentral:rRNA from 1 species
GACGAACGCUGGCGGCGUGCUUAACACAUGCAAGUCGAACGAAGAGCGAUGGAAGCUUGCUUCUAUCAAUCUUAGUGGCGAACGGGUGAGUCACGCGUAAUCAACCUGCCCUUCAGAGGGGGACAACAGUUGGAAACGACUGCUAAUGCCGCAUACGAUCUGACCUCGGCAUCGAGGAUAGAUGAAAGGUGGCCUCUAUUUAUAAGCUAUCACUGACGGAGGGGAUUGCGUCUGAUUAGCUAGUUGGAUGGGUAACGGCCCACCAAGGCGAGGAUCAGUAGCCGGUCUUGGAGGAUGAACGGCCACAUUGGGACUGAGACACGGCCCAGACUCCUACGGGAGGCAGCAGUGGGGGAUCUUCCGCAAUGGACGAAAGUCUGACGGAGCAACGCCGCGUGAGGGAUGACGGCCUUCGGGUUGUAAAGCUCUGUUAAUCGGGACGAAAGGCCUUCUUGCGAAUAGUUAGAAGGAUUGACGGUACCGGAAUAGAAAGCCACGGCUAACUACGUG